rnacentral:rRNA from 1 species
ACGUAGGGACCAAGCGUUGUUCGGAUUUACUGGGCGUAAAGGGCGCGUAGGCGGCGUGGUAAGUCAGCUGUGAAAUCUCCGAGCUUAACUCGGAACGGUCAGCUGAUACUGCUGUGCUAGAGUACAGAAGGGGCAAUCGGAAUUCUUGGUGUAGCGGUGAAAUGCGUAGAUAUCAAGAGGAACACCUGAGGUGAAGACGGGUUGCUGGGCUGAUACUGACGCUGAGGCGCGAAAGCUAGGGUAGCAAACGGGAUUAGAUACCCCGGUAGUCCUAGCCCUAAACGAUGAAUGCUUGGUGUCUGGAGUUUUAAAUCUCCGGGUGCCGUCGCUAACGCUUUUAGCAUUCCACCUGGGGAGUACGCACGCAAGUGUG